CAGUGGGGAAUAUUGGACAAUGGGCGAAAGCCUGAUCCAGCAAUGCCGCGUGUGUGAAGAAGGCCUUCGGGUUGUAAAGCACUUUCAGCAGGGAGGAUAAUGACGUUACCUGCAGAAGAAGCACCGGCUAAUUUCGUGCCAGCAGCCGCGGUAAUACGAAGGGUGCAAGCGUUAAUCGGAAUUACUGGGCGUAAAGCGCACGUAGGUGGUUUGUUAAGUCGGAUGUGAAAGCCCCGGGCUCAACCUGGGAAUUGCAUUCGAUACUGGCUCACUAGAGUAUGGUAGAGGGAAGCGGAAUUUCCGGUGUAGCGGUGAAAUGCGUAGAUAUCGGAAGGAACACCAGUGGCGAAGGCGGCUUCCUGGACUAAUACUGACAUUGAGUUGCGAAAGCGUAGUAGCAAACAGGAUUAGAUACCCUGGUAGUCCACGCCGUAAACGAUGAGAAACUAGCUGUUGAAAGGUUCUUACUUCCUGGUGGCGCAGC
rnacentral:rRNA from 1 species